AGGGGCUCUUCCCAACCCAGGGAUCAAACCCAGAUCCCCCACAUUGCAGGCAGACUCUUUACCGACUGAGCCACCAGGGAAGCCAUUUACACUGGAUAUCAUCAUCCUAAUCACCAAGAGUAAGGCAUCGAUAACGAUUCUUAACCACUGGACCACCAAGGAAGUCCUGAAAGUGAUUCUUGACUCACAGAAAGAACUCAGGAAAGAACGGCCACACUGUCUUUGCCUAAGAUGCCCAGACGACUGUAGGAAGAACCCCCUAUGGAAUGAAAAACAACUCCACCAUCACCAAGAACCCAUCAAAUGUUGACUAAAUAAAUGAUUUUCUUCUUUUACUAUGCAUGGUGUUCACCUGGGGUAAUUAUAGAAACACACAAUUGUCCAAACUCUGCCCCAGGUGUUCUGAUUCAAGGAGCCCAAGCUUAAGUAUGUGUAAAAAGUGUUUCGGGUGAUUCUAAUGAGUGGGCAGGUCUAGACUUCUUGGGCAGGCUCUAUGUUUUCCCAAGAAGAUCCAGAAUUAGUUUAGAAGAAUCUAAAAAGUAGAUUUGUUGUUUAGUGGUCUCCACUGAAACUAGAACUAUGUGAUUGUGCUGUAACUAAAUAAUUCUUUUAUCAUUAAUGCUGUGUGAAACUCUGGACCUCAGUCUCCUCAACUGUAUGAUAGAGGCUUCGAUUAUGUAUUUUCAAAGGUCUCUCCCAGUUUUGAUUUUCUAACAUAUUAUGACCCUGAAUUUGUUUAUCACUCAAAUUCCUGAAGAGGAUUACAGCUGGAGGAAUUGUGUAGGAAUUUGAAAAAGGCUGAAUAAAUAAAUAAAUAAUAAAUAACAGCACUCGGUAGAUCCAAAUCUUAAAGCUAACUCCCUGAAGAGGCUGGAUAAGAAUGCAGACUUAAUGGAGCUCCGUCUCUCGUGACCUUGGACAGAUUACCCAACUGCCUCAAUUUUCUUACCUGUAAAAUGGAGUCAGUAAUAGUACUGGCAUCACGAAAUUUUUCAGAUUAAAAGAGUUAAUCCAUGUGAAG
ensembl:lncRNA